rnacentral:misc_RNA from 1 species
GAUGAAGAACGCAGCGAAAUGCGAUAAGUAAUGUGAAUUGCAGAAUUCAGUGAAUCAUCGAAUGUUUGAACGCACAUUGCGCCCAUUAGUAUUCUAGUGGGCAUGCCUGUUCGAGCGUCAUUAAGUCCACUUAAGCCCUGCUUAGUGUUGGGAGACUGCUCCAGCGGUGCUACCCUGUAGCUACCCUGCAGCUCCUCAAAGACAGCGGCGGAGUUGUGGUAUCCUCUGAGCUUAGUAACUUGUUCCAGCUUUCGAGUACACCACUUCCCCUGCCGUAAAACCCUUAAUUUUUAAUGGUUGACCUCGGAUCAGGUAGGAAUACCCGCUGAACUUAAGCAUAUCAAUAAGCGGAGA